AUUGCCUCAGUAACGGCGAGUGAAGCGGCAACAGCUCAAAUUUGAAAUCUGGCCCUAGGCCCGAGUUGUAAUUUGCAGAGGAUGCUUUUGGCAAGGUGCCUUCCGAGUUCCCUGGAACGGGACGCCAUAGAGGGUGAGAGCCCCGUCUGGUCGGACACCGAGCCUCUGUAAAGCUCCUUCGACGAGUCGAGUAGUUUGGGAAUGCUGCUCAAAAUGGGAGGUAUAUGUCUUCUAAAGCUAAAUACCGGCCAGAGACCGAUAGCGCACAAGUAGAGUGAUCGAAAGAUGAAAAGCACUUUGAAAAGAGAGUUAAAUAGCACGUGAAAUUGUUGAAAGGGAAGCGUUUAUGACCAGACUUGGCCCGGUUGAUCAUCCAGCCUUCUGGCUGGUGCACUCUGCCGGUCCAGGCCAGCAUCAGUUCGUCGCGGGGGAUAAAGGUUUCGGGAAUGUAUCUCCUCCGGGAGUGUUAUAGCCCGUUGCGUAAUACCCUGCGGUGGACUGAGGUCCGCGCUCUGCAAGGAUGCUGGCGUAAUGGUCAUCAACGACCCGUCUUGAAACACGGACCAAGGAGUCGUCUUCGUAUGCGAGUGUUCGGGUGUAAAACCCCUACGCGUAAUGAAAGUGAACGCAGGUGAGAGCUUCGGCGCAUCAUCGACCGAUCCUGAUGUUCUCGGAUGGAUUUGAGUAAGAGCAUACGGGGCCGGACCCGAAAGAAGGUGAACUAUGCCUGUAUAGGGUGAAGCCAGAGGAAACUCUGGUGGAGGCUCGCAGCGGUUCUGACGUGCAAAUCGAUCGUCAAAUAUGGGCAUGGGGGCGAAAG
rnacentral:rRNA from 1 species